rnacentral:misc_RNA from 1 species
UUCCGCACCAAAGCCACUUCCAAAUGUACCUAUUUUAAUCCUAUCUCUUCUAGAACAACGAGAGAGGUUACAACAUAGUUGGUCUUAACUAUUACUUUGCAUUUAGUCACAAAACUUGUAUGUUUUUGAUCAAAUUAUAUAAACAUAAGCUUUCUUUUCAAUGUUCAAAAGAAAAGCUGAUAUGAUAAAGUGAAAAAGAAAUUGAGCAGAGAGAGACGUUAGUGGAAGAAGAACUGAAAGAGAAAGGCG